UCCCUGUUGAGGUCCCUGGUUUCAGCCCUGGGAGUCUUCCUCAUUGUAGGAUCAUGUAGGGCAGCCAGGUCAGCUGUGAUCUCGCAGGAAGCUGGGAUCGCGACUCAAACUGAUCCUCAACCCCGGAAACACUGGCAGUGCCUGCGCGGAAUUAGGAGACGGUCCCUAAAGCCACGUGAUCGUCGCUUCUCCGUGACCCUCCCAAUCCAGGCCCACCGCAGGCGCCGCGCGCGCUUGCCAGACCCGCACUACUUGGCGCGCUCUGAGAAGCACGAGUUGGGCGGGGCCUCCGUCCUGGUCGUGAAGGUGGUCAGGUGCACCCUUAGUGCCCUUAGCAAAGAUGGCGGAAGACAGCCCACCGGCUGGGCCAAUCAGGGGGCGAGCAGGCCGUCGGGACGCCGUCAGCGCACGGAAGGAGACUAGCAGAUGGCUUCUGCGCAUGCGCUCCGCUUAUUGAAGGGGAGAAGCUGGCACCCCGCGGCGGAAGUUUGCGAGUGUGAGGAACUGUGAGAAGCGAGGCGGAGGGCACUGACUUCCACGCCCUGCGCGCUGAACGUUCUUUAUUCAUUGGUUACUUUUCCUAACAUAGCGCUGUAAACCAAAGUCAGGAUAUCCUCCUGAGGGGUGUGGCUGGGACCCAUGCGGCCUCGGGGCCUCCUGUCAGUGCCAGCCUUGCCCCUGACUCCUGCUACCUCAGCUUGGCCAGACCAUCUCCCCAGGAUGGGUCAGGGCCUGGGUUUCUGAGGAGUGGAAGCUUCAGGACUCACACCCACCGCCAGCCUCCCUGGCCCUUCACGGAGCUGGGAUCCCUGGAGGUAAGGAGUGAAUUUAUUUAGAGAAACAUACUCCACAGACGGAGUGUGGGCCAUCUCAGAAGGCAAGAGGCCUUGGGAGAAACACACGCCACAGACAGAGUGUGGGCCAUCUCAGAAGGUGAAAGCGGCCAACCCCAGAAUUCUUUUGACCUUUUUUAGCCAAAUUCAGCUGGAGGGUUGGAAUAAGGCCAAGAGGAUUCUUCCCAUCUCACAGAGAGGAACUGAGGCUACAAGGACAGAAUUUGUUGCACUAGAGCCAGGACCAGCACCCAGAAGUCCUGUGCUUUCCAGACUGCUUUGCACCACACCCAGGCUCAGCACACAUUUGGAAAACCUCCACUUUCAAUGUGGUGCCUGAAGGUGAACAUUCAGAAACCUUCAGAGUUCCCUACCCCCAGUUCAACUCCACAGGUGGCGUUAAGCCAUCCACGAGCCAGUCCCAAUCUACCUUUCUAGGCUUUUCUCCCACCACUCCAUAUCACGCUCCAGCCAAACUCGACUCCUACCUGUCCCUGGCUGGCUUGAUUCCCAUGGGUCUUCCUUGCUGGCUUCCCCUCGUCCCCUGAUGUUCUUCUGCUGCCCUGCCUAUCCAGUGUCCGUCUGCCCGCUUCCCCGCCAACCUCGCAAUCGCUUCUCCACUCCCUGGUGGGCGCCUCUUUCUCUUCAUGCCCUUGAGCCUGGAUAUUCCCCAGGCUUCAGCCUCCAUUCUGUGGGCAGUCUUACCUCCUCUCAAGGUUUUAGGUGCUGCCUCUAUCUAAAACUCCCAAUCUCCAGACUGGAGUUUGCCGCUAAGCUUCAGGCCCAGGCAUCCCCGAAAUGUGUACAUCUCACAGACUCCUAGAACUCAACUUCAAGCCUUUCCUUCUGAUUGUAUUAUUCCCCAGUGGAACUAACUGCAUCAGAAUGACUGCAAUGCUGUCACUCAUGCCAGAUACCAGGGAGCCAUUCUAGAUUUCUCUUCCUCCCUUCCUACAUCCAGUCAACUGAGUUCUGCUGUUCCACUUCCUACGGAAGUCUGAAAUCCACCGUGUCCUCUCCGCCCCUACAGCCCCCGCCCUGGCUCAGGCUUGCAACACCUGGUGCGUGGGCUGUGGCUGCGGUGUACAAACUGGUGUCUGUCCUGAGAAUCAGGUCCUGGUACCCCACCCCCUGCCCCGGCUCAGGAACUCCUCUCUGGUGCCCAGUGGCCUGUAGAGUAGUGUCCCAGCUUCCCGACACAGUGCCCUGGAUUCUCUGCGACCCAGCUCCUGGCACCUGGCUCCCUUUCCACAUCAUUUCUUGCACACCCUGCCGUGCUCCCUCUUCAGCUGCCUGUGCCAUGGUGUGUAAGGUCUUUGCUCAGUGUUCUUCCUUCUGCCCCACAGCUUCCUGCCUUGCUUCACCUGGCUACCCUACUCAUUCCAUAGCUCGCAGCUGAGGGAGGCAUCGCCCCCUCCCCAGGCUGGGCGGGGUGAGCGCCCCUGCUCAGUGUUCCUGUGGGCUUUUCAACUCCUCUCUUUUACAUGUAACAUCUUGUGCUGAUAUACAUCUGGUUGUGUCUCCCUUCUCCGAGAGGCCACAAGCUCUUCAAGGGACUCUGUCUUACCUUUGUGGCCUUGACACCUACCUAGUCCAGGGCCGGGCACACAGCAGAUACCCAUCCAAUGAAGCCAUGCGUACUUGCCCUCAACUGAAAGCAACCUCUGCUCCUGUGACCUCCCUUGUCUGCCGCAUCUAGUGCCUUUUCUAGUUUGUGUCCUAGCUUUCUCUUAAAGGUCUCCUGUUUCACUGCAAGCUCAUUGAGGACAAGGACUGGCAUUCCAUUCAUCUUUGAAUUUCUCCAGAGUGUCUGAGAGAAAGAGUUAUUAGGAAAACAGACAGGAAGCCCCUAGCUCGGGCCCAGCCUGCUCCUGGGUCCCACCGCUCCCAAGCCAGCAGAGGGAGCCUUCGCCCCGGCAGCUCUGGCCGCACCUCUAACGCCAUCCCCAGCGGGACUGCAGCCAU